CAGCAGCAUAUAUACUCGGUGGAUUCUCAUCCCAUCCUGACAUCCUCUCAGGUCUCCACUCUCUCGAUCAGCUUGAUGCCCGCCGCUUCCAAGAUCUCCAGCGCUUCACAGCCGCAAACACACAGGUGUAAGGUGUGUGUGAUGUGUGAUGUGUUGUGAUUGGGGUGCAGCAGUACCAGGGCUCCUAUCGCUGCCGGUACCCCGACGGUGAGGGCCAUGGCGGUGGUCGACCUGCCAUUCUCGGUCUUUCCGAACUCCAGCAGCGUCGCUUGGUGCUUUUCGGUUGGUCGCCCGUCGGGGUACUCCACCUCGACUUCAUGGUGGAGCAGUACCAUAUCCUGAAUCGUGGGAGCAAAACAAAAUUUUAGCUCGUCAUGGUCCAAAUGUGAAAUUUCUGGCACAAAAGGAGUAAUACCGCAGAGAGCUCGGGGAGUUUGUCAGCAUCAACGAAGGUAUGUGGCAAUAGCUUGAAUAUCUCUUGUGCGCCCUGCGAAACUGUGACACAUGAAGUUAUAAAUGUGAGUAAGUGUGCUGCAACCAGUAACCUGAAUGUGAAGGCAACGAAAGUGAACACUGGGAUUACCAUUUCC